AUGUUUGCUUUAAAAACACAUGUGCAAAAAUUGGAAUGAUACAGAGAAUGACUAGCAUGACCUCUGCAUAGAGUGGCAUGAAAAUUUAGGAAGCAUCUUAUCAGUGU